UUUUAGCCCUGAUGGAAACGGCAUCCUUUCUUGUCCUUAAUUUAGUUCAGGAUCCAGAAGCAAGUUCUGGACAAGAAAGAUACAGUGUACAGCAGGAUUAGCU
rnacentral:sRNA from 1 species